rnacentral:rRNA from 1 species
GACGAACGCUGGCGGCGUGCCUAAUACAUGCAAGUUGAGCGCUGAAGGUUGGUACUUGUACCAACUGGAUGAGCAGCGAACGGGUGAGUAACGCGUGGGGAAUCUGCCUUUGAGCGGGGGACAACAUUUGGAAACGAAUGCUAAUACCGCAUAAAAACUUUAAACACAAGUUUUAAGUUUGAAAGAUGCAAUUGCAUCACUCAAAGAUGAUCCCGCGUUGUAUUAGCUAGUUGGUGAGGUAAAGGCUCACCAAGGCGAUGAUACAUAGCCGACCUGAGAGGGUGAUCGGCCAAAUUGGGACUGAGACACGGCCCAAACUCCUACGGGAGGCAGCAGUAGGGAAUCUUCGGCAAUGGACGAAAGUCUGACCGAGCAACGCCGCGUGAGUGAAGAAGGUUUUCGGAUCGUAAAACUCUGUUGGUAGAGAAGAACGUUGGUGAGAGUGGAAAGCUCAUCAAGUGACGGUAACUACCCAGAAAGGGACGGCUAUCUACGUG